UCUUCGGAGAGUUUGAUCCUGGCUCAGGAUGAACGCUGGCGGCGUGCCUAAUACAUGCAAGUCGAGCGAACUGAUUAGAAGUUUGCUUCUAUGACGUUAGCGGCGGA
rnacentral:rRNA from 1 species